rnacentral:rRNA from 1 species
AUUCCAGCUCCAAUAGCGUAUAUUAAAGUUGUUGCGGUUAAAAAGCUCGUAGUUGGAUUUCUGCUGAAACAAACCGGUCCGCCCUCUGGGUGAGCAUCUGGUUUUGUUUUGGCAUAUGCUUAGACUUUGCAGCUGCACUUGACUGUGUGGUGCGAAGGCUGAGCCUUUUACUUUGAGGAAAUCAGAGUGUUUCAAGCAGGCCAUUGCCUUGAAUACACUAGCAUGGAAUAAUAUGAUAUGACUGUGGUUUUAUUUUGUUGGCUUUAGAAUUAAAGUAAUGGUUAAUAGGGAUAGUUGGGGGCAUUCAUAUUUAACUGUCAGAGGUGAAAUUCUUGGAUUUGUUAAGGAUGAACGACUGCGAAAGCAUUUGCCAAGGAUGCUUUCAUUG